AUGAAGCAGAACGCCCCGAGUGAAAGGGUUUUAAAUUGGGGAUAUCUCUUUCUCUUCCCUACCCUUAACAUUACCCGUAUCAUAUCAAUUUAUCUGGCCAAGGUGAGCGCUGCUUGGCUUCCUGAAACCAGUCAAUACAGAUUCAUGCAUUGCUUCGAGAGUGGUGUUUUUAAAAAAAAAAAAAAAAAAUCAAAAAAAAAAAAAAAGAAAGAAAAAAAAAAGAAAAUCACUUGCCAUUUCCCAGCAAGUAGAUCUAUGCCCUGCCAGCCUCUAAGCAACAGCACCAUGGAAAACCCCCUUCUUCCUCCAUCCCCUUUUUUUAUUGCUGAACACAACAUGGCCAAUUUGGGUCAGCUGUCCUGGCUGUCCCCUCCCCAACUCCUGCCCACCCCCAGCUGACAUGCUGUGCAGGCCUCCUCAGCAACAGCCAGAACACAGGUGUGUUAUCAACACCCUUCUAGCCAUAAACCCAAAACAUGGCACCAUAUCUGCUUCUUGAAACAGAAAAGCAAACUCCAUCCCAGCCAGACCCAACACAGGUAAUUUAAGACACACAGCUUGAGCCUAGUAACCUACUAACUUGGUGAAGUCAGGUAAAGACAUCAAGGGAAGUAGUACUUUACAUCAAGGGAAGUAGUAUUUUCAACAUCAAAAACCCCACUGUCACUACCAGUCACCAAAGUCCUCUAUUUUUUUUCAGUUGAGCAGAAAGGUAAGGACAGCCAACAAUUCAUUUAAUUGAGGCCUGUCUUGAGUAGCUAAAAGCUUUCAUUUAAACUCAAGUUAGACACUAACUUAGAUUUGCCUGACUGGCAUCUCCCAAGGUGAUCCAUGACUUGCCUGUAGAACUACGAUAAAUACAGAGGUAUUUUACCUCUACAUGGUCGGAAUUCUCCAGCUUCUCAGGCAGCCACAGGCUUAGAAGCAAACUGGAUGUUUCUCUUGCAUUUGUUUAGAUAAUGAAUGCAUUUUAGAUACCUGCUGAUUGCCUCACAUCAGUUUAAUAAAAAGCACUACAGGAGGGCUCUAAUUAAACA
rnacentral:lncRNA from 1 species